CCUACGGGAGGCAGCAGUGGGGAAUAUUGCACAAUGGGCGAAAGCCUGAUGCAGCGACGCCGCGUGAGGGAUGACGGCCUUCGGGUUGUAAACCUCUUUCAGCAGGGAAGAAGCGAAAGUGACGGUACCUGCAGAAGAAGCGCCGGCUAACUACGUGCCAGCAGCCGCGGUAAUACGUAGGGCGCAAGCGUUGUCCGGAAUUAUUGGGCGUAAAGAGCUCGUAGGCGGCUUGUCACGUCGGAUGUGAAAGCCCGAGGCUUAACCUCGGGUCUGCAUUCGAUACGGGCUAGCUAGAGUGUGGUAGGGGAGAUCGGAAUUCCUGGUGUAGCGGUGAAAUGCGCAGAUAUCAGGAGGAACACCGGUGGCGAAGGCGGAUCUCUGGGCCAUUACUGACGCUGAGGAGCGAAAGCGUGGGGAGCGAACAGGAUUAGAUACCCUGGUAGUCCACGCCGUAAACGUUAGGGAACUAGGUGUUGGCGACAUUCCACGUCGUCGGUGCCGCAGCUAACGCAUUAAGUUCCCCGCCUGGGGAGUACGGCCGCAAGGCUAAAACUUAAUGAAUUGACG
rnacentral:rRNA from 1 species